AGACCAACAGGGAUUGCCCUAGUAACGGCGAGUGAAGCGGCAACAGCUCAAAUUUGAAAUCUGGCUUUCGGGUCCGAAUUGUAAUUUGCAGAGGAUGCUUUUGGCGAGGUGCCUUCCGAGUUCCCUGGAACGGGACGCCUUAGAGGGUGAGAGCCCCGUACGGUUGGACACUAAGCCUUUGUAAAGCUCCUUCGACGAGUCGAGUAGUUUGGGAAUGCUGCUCUAAAUGGGAGGUAAAUUUCUUCUAAAGCUAAAUACCGGCCAGAGACCGAUAGCGCACAAGUAGAGUGAUCGAAAGAUGAAAAGCACUUUGAAAAGAGGGUUAAAUAGCACGUGAAAUUGUUGAAAGGGAAGCGUUUACGGCCAGACCUUUUCCUAGCGGAUCAUCUGGUGUUCUCACCGGUGCACUUCGCUAGGUUUAGGCCAGCAUCGGCUUCUGUAGAGGGAUAAAAGCAGUGGGAAAGUAGCUCUCUCGGGAGUGUUAUAGCCCUAAGCAUAAUACCUUUACGGGGGCCGAGGACCGCGCUUUUGCAAGGAUGCUGGCGUAAUGGUCGUCAACGACCCGUCUUGAAACACGGACCAAGGAGUCGAACAUUUGUGCGAGUGUUUGGGGUGGAAA
rnacentral:rRNA from 1 species